AUAUAUAUAUGGAACCCAUUAAGUGUAACUGUUUUCCAAAUCAUUCUCCACCAUUAGAUCUUGCUGAGAUGAAAUCUCAGCCACUUAAACUCAAAAAAAUAACUUCUCCUAUGGCAGUUCAAAACAGUUCUUCACAGUUUCUUCAACAGGUGGUUACCACCAUCUUUUUCUACCCAUUAUCUCCACAAUUCAAGCUGGUGGUUUUGCUCAACUCCUCCAAAACUCAAGCCUACAAUCCUCCUGGUAAACCGCCAAUUCAACUGCCCACUCUCCCUUAAUUUUAGGGUUUGAAGAGGUUAUAUAUAGAUUGAUGAGCGCAAGAAGGAAAUCUGAAGUGGAGUUCUCCUUGACGACGGUUCCCUCAAUGCUCCUGUAACUGCCGAUUUGUGCUUCUCACCCACCCAUAAAUCUAUGGGUUCCAUCUCCAAAUAAAAAAUGCAAGAGAGUAGAUGCCUCCUACGAUUGACAGAGUGAGCAGGGGUUAUUUAAUUGAUAUAGGGUUCCACCCACGGGUUCAAGGUAAUUAAGUUCUUAACUCACCAAGCCAUGGCGUCGUGUACAAUCUUAGCCCGAAGGAUUGCGGCGGAGCUUUGUUCCUCGUGUAAAUAGUAAGGGUUUCAUCAUCAUUAGGGCUGGAGUCGACGAAUAAGAAUAAGAACGGUCAAAAGUCAACAACUGGGAUGUGUAUGGUUUUAGAUUCUCCUUUAGCAUACAACCUUAUCCAGGUCUCAAAUUGAAACCUCGAAGGAAAUGAAGUGGAGCUCGGGUUGGUAAGUCGUUCAUCAUCGAUCAUUAGGUAACAAUUCACAAUCUCAAGUCACCUAACUGACUCGCCAUUUCAAAAUUUUAUCAAUUAAUACCUAGAAGAUGUAUAUGGUUGGGUUUGAGAUACUCCAUGAAACCAAUUUUGAAAUUACGAUUUUCGCAAAGUAAUCGGCAAGUGGGUUGCCUUCAGUUGUACCAGUUCUAGAGUAGUGUGUUAGAAGUUUUUAAAAUUACGAUUUCUAAUAAUAUUGCAAAUGAUCAUUGUCAUUUGGAUUACCUUACUUUGAUCCUUAUUCUUUUCUUUUAUGUUUUACAAGUACAAUUAUGACAAUCUUAAAGAACAGAGUGAAAAGUAUUUAGAUAGCUGGAAGCUAAAAUAGAUCAUUGCCACUAAAGUUGUACUUGGUGGUUACUUAAGCUUCAAUGACACUUAUUCUUCUGGAUCAUGAAUGAUACCGACUUUUUCUCUGGUGAGUAACACAUGGCUAUAGUAUCUUCAAGAAAUUUGGCUCUUUUUUUCCUGCACUUUCUGUAGCAAAAUGCAAAAACCAUAAGAAUCGAUCAACACCAAUUCAAAACUUGCAAAAUGGAAACAAGCCCGACAACUAUUGAUAAACAAGAAGCUGUUAUAACCUACAAUGAAGACAUUUCCCGGGCUAAGGCGAAGCGUUAUGAGAAGGAAUAACUGAAAGAAAGGUGUGCUAAGCUUCUUUUAGGAUAAGAUAUCUUGUGGAAUAACAUAUGUCAGGUGGUGGCAAAGGCACUUCAUCUGCUUUGGCUUUAUAAAAUGCCAUUCAAAUCUUGCUGUUAAAUUUGUAGCUUCUGCGAUUAGAGAGCAGCAUAAAGUGCUCUAAUGUUGGAAGAUAUGAAAACAAGAUGGGUAAGAAAAGAUGGUCAGAACGGGUCAAAUUUAGAGAGCAACAUAAAGUGCUCUAAUGUUACCACUUUGUAGUCUUCAAAACGGGUCAAAUUUACCAUCUUUUAGUAAACGGGUCAAGGUACCGCGUUUGUAAACGGGUAAAAAUCAACAUUUUUUAAGCGGGUCAAGAUUACAAUUUAUAGUAACCGGAUUAAAUUAUCACUUUUAGGUGACCGGGUCACAUGAGCAUUUUGGUAAAAGGGACAACAUUACCAUUUUUGCGGAUGGGACAAAAUUACCAUCUUUAGUAAAGGGGUCAGGUUUACCGUGUUAGUAAGGGGUGAAAGUUACCGUUUUUAGUAAACGGGUCAGAAGGAGAUACUUUAUUAAACGCGCCAAACUCAUCCUUUUUGGUAAUCAGGUCAAACUCUUUUUUUGUAGUAAAUGAGUCAAAAUACCAUUUUUUGGUGAACUGGUCAAAAUUAUAAUUUUAGUAAACAUGUCAAAAUUGUCGCUCUUAGUAAGCGAGUCAAAUUCAUCGUUUUUAGUAAUCGAGUCAAAUUACCAUUUUUAGUGAACGGGUCGAAAUUAUAAUUUCAGUAAACGGGUCAAACAUAUCAUAUUUAGUAAACACGUGGGUCGAAAUUGUAAUUUUAGUAAACGGGUCAAACAUAUCAUAUUUAGUAAACACGUGGGUUAAAAUUAUAACUUUAGAAAACGGGUCAAACAUGUUUAGCCACGCCGGAACUUUAAUGGGUUUUUUAUAACAUUUAUUGAUCAGCAUGCACUAUAUAAUGGGGAGCAUCAAUCGGAAGAUAAAAAAGAAAAAGGGGCCAAAACUUUAUAUGCUCUAGGAAACCGAAGCAACAAGCACCUAGUGGCAUGGGAAGAAUUUGAAGCGCCCGAUGUCGGCUGAUCUCACGCAUGUGAUGUGACCAAUGAAGAUUAGUGAGUAUCUCUUUUUUUAGUUAUAUACUUUGAGGAUAAAUCGUGCAACUAUGGGUUUCAGGUCAUUUGUGAUGAUGAUGUUAGGGAAAAUAUACCUGCUAUGGUUUCUUGCAAUGAGGAUACACAAGAAGUAAUUGCUACCAAAAUAUGGUUAAUAAACAGUAAGAUAAAACCUUGUGUUUUAACAAGGUAUUAUUUAAUUUUUCUAUUGUUUGUGUAAAUAUCUAAACUUGGCUCUUAAAAUUUUUAUUUUUAGUACCAUACAUUGGUAGGAAACUGUUUGAUUUGCUUGAUGACCAUUUUCUUCCUUUUGAAGUCAAUUUGAGUCAGGUUAUGGUGUGCUUGGGCAAGGUUGGAGGUACAAGUAGGAGGGGUUGAAGCCAUGAAUUUUGUUGAAAAAUGGCAAGAACCCAAGGGAUUUAAUUUUUACUAGAUUACAUUGUGGGAACAAUUAAUUUGGUCUGCGCAGUGUUAAUGAAAAGACAUAGAAGCUAAGGAUGAGAAUUGGCAGGGGGCUGGCUUUGAGAGACUAGAGAAAACUUUCAUUUGGAGCAAGACACCAACUGACAUAGUGGAGUAUAUGGCAAGAUGAGUCUGUGUGAGUGCUAAUAAUAUUAAUAUUCCUAGAAGGUCAUUACAAUGAUGGAAGUUUUUAAAGAUUACAAGAGAAUUAUUAUUAUUUUAGCUGCAAUUUGCGUGUUAAUAUUGAUUUAUUACUUA